UGUGUUGCUCUCUAAUUCCUCUGCAGGCUCAAUUACACAAUUUCCCACCCCCUGAUGAGCUCAUGUGGUUUAAUCUACAAGCUUGUCCACGAGUCUGAAAAAUAAAUUUGUACUGCCACCGAUGACGCAUGGGGAAACCUUAGUGACACUGUAGCUACUACCAUAGCAUUUACACACAAGAUGCUGUAACACCUGCUGCUAAUCCUAUUACACAAAACAUCUUGUAGCUCAAUCAUGCAACUAAACAAUCAACCAUCUUGUUUGAGGGAACGUCCGCAGGGUUUCUGAGUGAAAAUCAGGGAACAAAAUUCAAAACUGAGAGGAGGAAUGAGGAAUUUUUUCAAGUCCAAAUGAGCACAUUUAUUUAACUGUUUUUGUCUAUGUUAAAGUAACCUUCAGAAAAAAACCUAUCAAAGCAGAUUACAUCUUCUACAUCUCAAGUCCUUGCUUCAAGUUUGCUCCAUGUUUCUGUUUCCACAUUUUCAUUGUAGUCCUUCAUAUUUGCCCCAACCACCAACCAUGGCAAGAAAAACGAGAUACAUCUCCAUUCUCUCUCGUCACUGGCUGCACAUUAACAUGUAUCAGUACCAUUGAAAGAAGCCGUGUCCAAGCCCUCUGACCAUGAGCUGCCUGAAAGCCACUGUGAAGUUCAGAGCUCCUGUACUGUUCACUCACACAUCCACCUCCAGCUGCUCCGGAAAUCUCUUCAGGGAAGAAAGUGAUGCACCCGUCAUCUCAUCUGUGUCAUUGCUUCUGCAGAACACCCCAACGCUGUCCACUGAUCUACAGACGCAGUUUGGUGUCUCGCUGCAGUCAGUCCCCACAACUACCACAAGAGGGCGCUGGCUAUGCAGGUU